AUUUAAAUAGCUUAUAUUUAGAGUAUAAUAUUGAAGAUAUUAGGGAAGUUUGUUAAAUUUUUAAAUA
rnacentral:tRNA from 1 species